CUUUGAGAUUUCAAAGUUAAGUCCUACUCAGGCUCCAAUAUAACCAAGAUGAGUCAUCUGACUAUGCAUCAUCAUCAAUAUCUGGGUAGGAUAGCUUACUCACAGUGUGAAAGCAAAAGCACCUGAAGAGCUUUGGUGGCUGAAUAUAGAGAGGCCAGACCUUCAACCACAUAUACUUGAGGAGCGUUGCUUCACAGAAAAGCAAUAUUUAAAAAAAAGAAGAAAGAAAG
rnacentral:lncRNA from 12 species